rnacentral:rRNA from 1 species
GACGAACGCUGGAGGCGUGCUUAACACAUGCAAGUCGAACGAUGAAAUGGAGCUUGCUCCAUGGAUUAGUGGCGAACGGGUGAGUAACACGUGAAUAACCUGCCCUUAAUUUUGGAAUAACCCAGGGAAACCUGGGCUAAUACCGGAUAAGUAAACCUGUGGCAUCACAUGGUUUUGGAAAGUUUUUCGAUUAAGGAUGGAUUCGCGGCCUAUCUGCUUGUUGGGGAGGUAAUGGCUCCCCAAGGCGACGACGGGUAGCCGGCCUGAGAGGGUGAACGGGCACACUGGGACUGAGACACGGCCCAGACUCCUACGGGAGGCAGCAGUGGGGAAUAUUGCGCAAUGGACGAAAGUCUGACGCAGCGACGCCUCGUGAGGGACGAAGGUCUUCGGAUUGUAAACCUCUUUCAGCAGGGACGAAGCGAAAGUGACGGUACCUGCAGAAGAAGCACCGGCUAACUAUGUGCCAGCCGCCGCCGUAA